UAUCUCUGUAGAGUCUGCAUAUCAAUAAGCGGAGGAAAAGAAACUAACUAGGAUUCCCUCAGUAACGGCGAGUGAAGCGGGAAGAGCUCAAAUUUGAAAUCUUCAAGGUUCUACCUUGACGAAUUGUAGUUUAAAGAAGUGUUUUCUGUUGGAGUUUUGGUAAAAGUUCUUUGGAAUAGGACAUCAUAGAGGGUGAGAAUCCCGUAUUUGACCAUUAUUUCCAACUUUGUGAUACACUUUCAAAGAGUCGGAUUGUUUGGGAAUGCAGUCCAAAAUGGGUGGUAAAUUUCAUCUAAAGCUAAAUACUGGCGAGAGACCGAUAGCGAACAAGUACCGUGAGGGAAAGAUGAAAAGAACUUUGGAAAGAGAGUUAAACAGUACGUGAAAUUGUCAAAAGGGAAGCGUUUGACACCAGUGUUGUUUUCUCGAAAAUCAAUUAAAAAAGAUUGGAUUUUGUGUUGUAUUGACUUUAUCGGCUUUCAGCACUCAUUUUCUUGUCUUUUUUAAUGCACUUUUCGUUUAACAAGUCAACAUCAAUCUCUUUUGUUGUAAAAGGGUCAUUGGAAGGUGGCUUUCUCUUCGGAGAAAGUGUUUAUAGCCUUUGGCCUCUGCAAUCGGAGAGAUCGAGGUCUGCAGCGUAGAUCCUUCGGGGUUAGAUACAUUUGUGCUAAGUUAUAGCCUUUCAUAGACAACUUGUUGACUAUGAUCAGUCAUGUAGCUUACUCGCUUAUGUCAUUUUACCUACGCUUAGGAUGUUGAUCUCUCACAGUCGAGC
rnacentral:rRNA from 1 species